ACUCAAAGGAAUUGACGGGGGCCCGCACAAGCGGUGGAGGAUGUGGUUUAAUUCGAUGCAACGCGAAGAACCUUACCAAGGCUUGACAUCCUGCGAAUCUUUCAGAGAUGAGAGAGUGCCUUCGGGAGCGCAGAGACAGGUGGUGCAUGGCUGUCGUCAGCUCGUGUCGUGAGAUGUUGGGUUAAGUCCCGCAACGAGCGCAACCCUCGUCCUUAGUUGCCAUCAUUAAGUUGGGCACUCUGGGGAGACUGCCGUGGACAACACGGAGGAAGGUGGGGACGACGUCAAGUCAUCAUGCCCCUUACGUCUUGGGCUACACACGUCCUACAAUGCUACAGACAGAGGGCAGCAAGCGCGCGAGUGCAAGCAAAUCCCAUAAACUGUGGCUCAGUUCAGAUUGCAGGCUGCAACUCGCCUGCAUGAAGGCGGAAUCGCUAGUAAUCGCCGGUCAGCAUACGGCGGUGAAUACGUUCCCGGGCCUUGUACACACCGCCCGU
rnacentral:rRNA from 1 species